GAUGAACGCUAGCGGCAGGCUUAAUACAUGCAAGUCGAGGGACAGCACAGGUAGCAAUACUGGGUGGUAACCGGCAAACGGGUGCGGAACACGUACACAACCUUCCUUUAAGUGGGGGAUAGCCCAGAGAAAUUUGGAUUAAUACCCCGUAAUAUAGUUGAAUGGCCUCAUUUGAUUAUUAUAGCUACGGCGCUUAAUGAUGGGUGUGCGGCUGAUUGGAUAGUUGGCGGGGUAACGGCCCACCAAGUCUACGAUCAGUAGCUGAUGUGAGAGCAUGAUCAGCCACACGGGCACUGAGACACGGGCCCGACUCCUACGGGAGGCAGCAGUAAGGAAUAUUGGUCAAUGGACGCAAGUCUGAACCAGCCAUGCCGCGUGAAGGAUUAAGGUCCUCUGGAUUGUAAACUUCUUUUAUUUGGGACGAAAAAGGGCCUUUCUAGGUCAACUGACGGUACCAGAUGAAUAAGCACCGGCUAACUCCGUGCCAGCCGCCGCAGUAAUAC
rnacentral:rRNA from 1 species